UACGAAGGGGGCUAGCGUUGUUCGGAAUUACUGGGCGUAAAGCGCACGUAGGCGGACAUUUAAGUUGGAGGUGAAAGCCUUGGGCUCAACCCAAGAAUUGCCUUUGAUACUGGAUGUCUCGAGACCGGGAGAGGAGACUGGAAUUCAUGGUGUAGCAGUGAAAUGCGUAGAGAUCAUGAGGAAGACCAGUGGCGAAGGCGGGUCUCUGGACAGUUCCUGACGCUGAGGCACGAAGGCCAGGGGAGCAAACGGG
rnacentral:rRNA from 1 species